AUUUCACCACAGCUAGCCAAAAAAAUACAUAUAACUUUGUUAAAAAUUCAGUAGCUUCCCUAGUUGCAAGAAAGUGUGUGGCCAGUAUGCAUAUAGGAAAAAGUGUUAACCUUUAGCUAAAAGAUGUGUUAGCUAUAAAGACGUUUAUAGUGCACGGGUCAUCUCACACGUACACACUUACAUCCAUAUAUGCAGCUAUAUGGCAACCUAAUUCGAUUUCAACGCACACAGAAUUAAGGCAACUGCGGAGGCCUUUUGUUCUACGGCAUGGAUUGGUUUUGGCCAUCAUGAAAAGCUAUUGAAAAAUCAUGCAUGGAGCAUGGAGUGGGGAGUGGGGAAGCCGACAAGAAAAGAAACGGAAUACAAAAGACAAACACAGCAGAAAUGGAGACUCAUCCACAGUGAUACGUGCCUGGCAUUCGCCAAGCUGGAUUAAUUUCAUUUCACAAAACAAAACCUAUAUACAUAUGUACAUAUGUAUGUACAUAUACUGGGGACAAGGAAAGAAAAUACCCCACAGAUACAGAAGCCUCUUGGAUAGCCCUCAACUCCCCGAUAAUGGGAGCAUUAAUUUGAAUUGCAUAAUUUGUGUUGUGCAGAAAGCAGAGACGAAGAAAUUAAGUCAAUGGCCCAAACAAAAUAUAAAUAUCGAUUAGGAGACGAGCUGCAAAUGACGGGGAAAAUAACUCUCUGCCAACCCAUUUAAUUGGGGAAAUUUAACACGUACGCCGCAUUUGUAUUCAUUCUCGGUCUGCAGCCGCUGGGAAAUUGGAUUAAAGACGUUAAAGACUCUUGGCCCUGUUGUCAUCGCUGUCUUCGUUGUCUUUGUUGGCUUCGCGGCAACUGUAAAUUACAUUUCAUAUUAGCGGAGUAGCGGGGGAAUAUGUUCCGAAGCUGGGGAGAUUUCCCCUACAACGUGCGAAAAAAGAAUAGAGGCCCUCCCUACGAAAACAAAACGAAGUUUGUUAGUAUGCCAUAAUCGUAUGGCGACGAGGCCUUAUUUAUAGCAUUAACGCAUAUUAGGCCUAAUGGGCAUAGAAUACGAGGGCAGAAUGGGAAGUGCUCCACACAGGGGGCGUAAGUCCUUAUAAACGGAAUGAAAAGCCAAGAGUAUGAUCAAGAGUUAUGCAUUUGGUGAAGGAUUUCAAAUGAGUGCAGGAAAAACAAAACACACAUAUUAGAGUACAUAAAGAAACUACUUUAAAAGAAAAUCAUAGAAACUAAUUUCCGCCCAAAUAUUUAUCGAUUAGCAUCGGUACUAACUCGGGUUAAAAAGAAAUUCAAUCAGAGAGCGGAAAUGCAAACAUUAUGAAAGCAGAAAAGUGGCUCAGAACAGAUGAAAGAAAUCGUAUAUCUAAGCUAGUUCCGUUGCGAGAAGAACCCUAUAGAUGCACUGAGCCGUAAUUCAUCCCGCAAAAUAACAAAACCUUAUCCAGCCCAAACAUAAUCCAGUCCCACUCUCCGGGGGAUUCCCUCAGCCAUGGGCAUAUCCCAAUGCCUACAUGUCAACUCCAUCACGUUCUAGUUGAUUAAAUAAACUGAUUGAUGGCAUGCCUGAUUGAUGCCUUCAUCGGAUCGCCAUACCCCACA